UCGAGCGUUGAGCGCAUGCUAACGCACGUUAUUGUAACACCACGUGUGUAUCGUAGAUGGACGAAGAAAUCGUAAUUCUUCUACUUCUCAUUCGUCGCCGUAGGCGUAGAGCUAGAGAAUAUCAACAACGGCAAAUGUGGGUCAGACCAAUCUUUCAACGAAGGCGGCAACAGGGAGAAUUUCAUAAUCUCCUUGCAGAGAUGAGGCUGAACGACAGAUGUACGCGCCAAAGACACGGAUAACUCCGCACGCUGUCGAUUAGACCCUCCAUGCAAAAUCCGGGAUUUGAUAAGACUGUUCUUUGAUUUGUAGAAAGUAAUCACGUGUUUUCCGGUUACGUUGGUACACUUCCGGAAUCGACGCUAGAGUUGAACUCGAGUCAACUCCAGCGUCAAGAACGCUGGACGAACGCUGCGACGAACGUCGUCGACGUUGACAUGUUCACAAUACGACGCUCACGCCAGCGUCAUCGUCAUCGUCAGCGUCAUCGUCAGCGUCAACGUCAGCGUCGUAUUGUGAACCGAGCUUAAGCGAGGUCGGACCAUCUUGCAUCUUCAGAUCGUCAAAAAGCAAGAAGAAGGCAACGGCUACACAAUAAACUGCAGAGAAGAUCUUCAGCUUUAGAGAUGUCCACAACUUUGAACGACGAACAAAAGAAGACGUACGCUAGUGCCACGAAACUGGAAUUGAUGUCGUCAGAAGUCUCUGAAAAUAGCAGUGAUAACGAGCCACCCUCUGAGGGAGCCUCCACUGCUGGACGUUCACAACUCCUGAUCCGACCUCUUCCGUGGAGAGCCAUUGAAGCAACAAAGGUGUUUGAGUUUUUGGACAGAAAGUACGCCAGAAGGCAGACUCAGAGAGGAACGGUACCAAGAGUAAACGGAGCUCCAUCUACCAGAACACGUCCGGGAAUGACAUUGUACCAGAGUGGGCUCUAGAAGACUUCUUCUAAUUAUAAUACGUUUGAUUUUAAUACAUGUCAAAGAACAUGGAUAUAUAGAGCUAGAUCAUUCAAAUUUGCUGUUAACAUUGUUGUCCA